CCCUAUUAUAAAGAAUGUAAAAUAUUUGCUAGAGUAGUAGUAGUUAAGUUCUUGAAAUUUAAAAGAUUUGGCGGUAUUUUAGUCUUUUCAGAGGAACCUGUUCUAUAAUUGAUGGUCCACGAUUAAUUGUACUUAAUUUAUUAGUUUGUAUAUCGUCGUCGUUGAAUAUCUUUUAAAGGUAAAUUAAUAUUCAAAAUUUAUAAUUUAUAAAGUAAAUCAGAUCAAGAUACAGUUUAUAAUUAAGAAGAAAUGGGUUACAAUAAAUUUAUUUAUAUGGAUAUAUUAAUUAACAUUUUUAUUGAAAUUGGAUUUGAAGGUAAUAUAUUUAAGUUAAAAUAUAUGAUUUAAGCUCUAGAAUAUG
rnacentral:rRNA from 1 species